AUUCAUUUUCUAAGAAUCAUUAAUUUUGAAAAUAAAACAUAAAUUCUGAUAGCACCAAGACCAGUAUCAGUUUUAUUUUUAUGAACAUUUACAUUUACAUAGUUAUAUAAGUAAGUAAAUAUUCGGGCACAAUAUACAGCAAGACAUUUAAGAAAAUUAUUCUCUCACCCCCAACCAUUGCACAUGGUCUUCAUUCUCUACAGAAUACUCUUCCUGCUCAUUGCC
rnacentral:lncRNA from 10 species